rnacentral:lncRNA from 1 species
GACCGAUGGCAAAUGCGAACAUGGCCGACCCCCGUACAACGAAAUCGAUAAAACACGUUACGUUUUCUGCGUUUUGCGCGAUGCCGAAAGAGGAGAGAGAGAGAGAGAGAGAGAAAAGAAAAGAAACGUCGAGAGAGGGAUGAUAACGCAACACCCCUGCGCUUGCGAAAUAGGAGAGACGGUAUGCGCCGCCGUCGUUGGAUAUUUCUCCAAUUCCUUUUAUUGCGCGAUAGUCACCAGAACUAUCUUAAAAUAGAUUCACUAGCCAUAGACUUUCCCUAGUCAGGGUAGAUGUCAGGAUGUCUUUGAAGAAGAUGGUCAUAAAGAUUCGGUGAAAACUGUUGGCGGUGUCUUCAAAGGAAUUCUUGAGUUAUUGUGAAUUAAUUAAACAAUCGUCAUGGUAUAAUAUCCUAUAUAAGUCUCUAAUCAAUAAGACAAAUCUAAGAAUACCGUGGAAUUCCAAUCGUUUUCCUUAUUCAAUUAUUAUAACAGACAAUAAUAAGUAUGCGGCUCUACAUUUUGAAUUCCAACCAAAGAUCGUUACAAACCAAAGAAGACUCCGUCGGUUACAGCAUAGGAUCAAUGGAUAUAAAUUUUAUUUUCAUGGGGCUAACGAUAUGAAGAUUUGUUUCAACUAUUCUCUCCUUCGAAGAGAUUCAUUGUGAAAUAAUAUGCGAAUAAAAUGGAGCUGCGAUUCCAAAAAAUAAUUAGAGGUAGAAAUUGGAAAAGAAUAUAAAGACAACAAUCUCUCUCUUGUAUAAGUAAGAAACAAAUAUUAUAUUAAUCUUGAAAAACAUAUAUUCAUAGCAUUAAUAAACUAUUAUGAUUGGACUGUAA